UAUACAUUUCCUGUCUCCUAUCAGCCGGAUUUACUCCGAAAAGGGCAUCAAUGACCAUUGGACCAUAUACUUCUCCACAAUAUUGCAGGCACUAAAGGUGGACUUUUAACAAGUGCAGUGACAAUGCAGUGGUGCGGUCGGCCGUGAACUUCCAUGGCUUCAAUGAGAGGUGGCAGUCUGUCACGUCUGCUCUCGCUCCUCCCCUCCGGUGUUUGACGUCGCCGGUAUACUAACCGCCGGUCCUGGGAUCCAUCAUUACGAGCACCUGCACGUUGUCAUGAGGCAAACCUGGACUCCAUUACCUUACUUAUUACCACCCCUAUAUCUGGCCCUCCCUUAGGUUCCUUCCCCAGUCAGUAUUGAUCCUGUGUACAUGCAAAGACGCUACUGUUAUGUUGUCUCGUUUGUUGUUUUAUUAAACGUUUCACCUGCUUCUCAA